GCGCCGCUGACGCAGGAGCACCCCGAGGUGCUGCCCUUCCUGAGCUCGCGCCACCUGCGCGCCCACCCCGACUUCCGGGGCUCGGCCGAGUUCCGGAACAUUCUGGGCCGGCUGCUGCGGCGCGUGCGGGGCCGGCGCCGCAAGGUCUACGUGUACAUCAACGAGCUGUGCACCGUGCUCAAGGCGCGCGCGCUGCGGCGCCGCCUGCCCCUGCGCGCCCUGCCCGCGCCCCCCGGCCCCGACGGAACCUUCCGGAGCCCCGACGGAGCGCCCCCGAGCCCCGAUGGAACCUUCCGGAGUCCCGAUGGAACCUUCCGGGAUCCCGACGGAACCUUCCGGGAUCCCGAUGGAACCUUCCGGAAUCCUGACGGAACCUUCCGGAAUCCCGAUGGAACCUUCCAGAAUCCUCCCAGUGCCUCCCAGUGCCCUCCCGGCUCGUCCCAGUGCCCGCCCAGUUUGUCCAGUUCGUCCCAGCGUCCCGACGGAGCUGAGCCGUCCCUGUGUGCCGCCACCAGUUCAUCCCAGUGUCCCACCGAUCCAUCCCAGUGUCCCACUGAUCCAUCCCAGUGUCCCCAGAGUUCUUCCAGCGAUCCCAGUGCUCCAUCCCAGUAUCCCAAUGGUCCCUCCUGGUGCUCCGACGCCUCCUCGCAGCAUCCCGGCGGUUCGUCCGCCAAUCCCAGUGCCUCGUCCCAGUAUCCCAGCAGCUCAUCCCAGUGUCCUGGGGGUUCAUCCCAGUGUCCUGGUACCCCAUCCCAGCAUCCCAGUGCUGCAUCCCAAUAUCCCAGCACCCCAUCCCAGUAUCCCAGCGCUCCACCCCAGCAUCCCGGCUCCCAGCCGCAGCCCCCGGAGGCCUCGGGCCGGCGCGCGGGCGGCUCCCGGCGGCAGAUCCGGCACCUGGAGCACCUGCUGCGCGUCUACGCCAGCGAGAUCCGGCGGCUGCAGGAGCGCGAGCUGGACCUGGCCGAGCUGGACAGCGCCGACUCGCCGUACCUGCAGGAGAACCGCCUCAAGCGCCGCAUGAUGCGCAUCUUCCGCCGCCUGUGCCAGCUCAAGGACUGCAGCAGCCUCACGGGGCGCGUGCUGGAGCAGCGCAUCCGCUUCCGCGGCACGCGCUACCCCGAGGUGAACCGCAGCAUCGAGCGCUUCAUCAACCGGCCCGACGCCUUCCCCGACUACUCGGACAUCCUGCGCGAGAUCCGCGGCGCCAGCGCGCGGCACCGCCUGGGGCUGGGCCGGCGCCAGAUGGAGAGCAUGGCGCAGGAGGCGUUCCGCGAGGUGGGCAACCGGCUGCAGGAGCGGCGCCACCUCGACCUGGUCUACAACUUCGGGAGUCACCUCACCGAUGAAUAUCGGCCGGGUAAUGGGGGAAAAAUGGG
rnacentral:lncRNA from 1 species